CUCAGGCCACAGUCAUUUGUUCCUUCCAAGAAAUGAAAGGAAAGGAACAUGGAGAGAAAGGGGAAAGUAAUAUUUUCUGUGUGCCUACUAUCUAACAAGCUCUGUGCCAGAAGCUUAACAUGUUGGUUACAUCAUUUAAUCCAAAACACCACCUUAGAAGGACCAGACUUAUGAAGUGGCCUUCUGAGGACAUUUUCUGACCUUAUGGUAUGAAGUUCCUUCAGGCUCUUAAUUCUGGAUAAACUGGAGUGAUUAACAACAGCAAAGAGACAUAGUAUUCAGAUAAGGACUUUGUGUCUUAUUUUUCUUUUUAUAUCACAACUGGAGCCACAGUUGUGGGCAAGGCACUGACUUUCUUGAUGAAUUCUGUCCAUCUGUAAAGCAGCUAUAUAUCCCACUGGAGGCUUUGCCUCUCAGAGACAACGUGAAGACGGAUAAGCAGGCAUCAGGAGCAGAGUGGCCUCUCAGCUUCCGCCAAGAACUUCUUACCUGGGCAUGUAUUUCUAUCCUAUUCACUUUUUACUCUCUGGCGUAGAACUUCUUCCUACCAAACUGUCAUCCUCUGCACCUCUCCUGGCCUUCCUCACAAGUUUGUAAGCAUUAAGAAGGUGCGCUGCAUGCCUCAUUAAAUUCCUCCUUGGAAGGGCUGAGUUCA
rnacentral:sRNA from 1 species